rfam:Penicillium antarcticum strain IBT 31811 PENANT_contig100, whole genome shotgun sequence.
AUGGAUAUGCUGAAAUUGGAAAACAGGUUUCAUUUAGGCUGGAAUAGUGCUCAACUUUACAAGUUCAAGUCUUGUUAUCCAUA